rnacentral:lncRNA from 1 species
GAACUAUAUUUCUGUAUUUGAACUCUGUCUGUAGGUAUAACUAAGCAUCAAGUAUUGUCCUGCAUGAUCUUAAACUUUUUAUAUUGUUAAGAUUUCUUAUUUGGUUUCCAAUACACUGUUUGAAUAAUAACAGCAGGGCUUGGCCUAUAGGCAUCCCACAGAGAUUAUUUUGGAGAAUUCCACGAAACUACCAAGGAGUAGUUGUGAUAUACCCAGAAUAAGUCCAAUAAUAUCAGCUCAAAGCCAAAGAACCUUACUAAGGUAUAUUUACUGAAUAUUUGAAUCCCUGAGACUGACAGCAUAAGCCCCAUCCGUGGCCCUGGUACAAAUUAGAAAACAGGGCCAACUCUAGGUAAGCAAUUGCCUGCUAACAAACUGGACAAGCUCCCAUUUGAACAGUGAACCACCUGCACAACUAUAUCAGCAUCCCUGUCAUGUAUUACCAUGUGCCAGGAACUGCACAUGAAUGGAUACAUUUAAUUCUCCUAUAGUCAUAGAAGGUAAGUACUUUUGUCUCUUCUUUCAUUAUAUGGAUGUGGAAUAUUGAGGCAAAAGUAGCAGGCACAGUGGUUUAUACCUCUAAUCCCAGAGGCUCAGGAGGCUGAGGCAGGAGGAUCCUGAGUUCAAAGCCAGUCUCAGCAAAAGCAAGGAGCUAAGCAACUCCGUGAGGCCCUGUCUCUAAAUAAAAUAUAAAAUAGGGCUGGGGAUGUGGUUCAGUGGUCGUGUGCCCCUGAGUUCAAUCCCUAAUACUCCUCCUCCCCCCUCAAAAAAAAAAAAGCCUAAGUAAAUUUCCCAACGUCAUACCACUGGUAAAGUGGGUAGGACCAGGACUCAAACCCAGACAAUCUAUCUCCACAGCCUGUGCUCUUAAGGACUGAACUCUAACACCUGUCUUUUCACUCUUUCCAAGAACUCAACUGAGCAGGUAUUAUAAUUAGAUUCUCCAAGCUGUAGAUGUGACAGAUGAAGCACGGAAAGUCUGAUAACUUGCUCAAGGUCACAUAGCCAGCACUUGGCACAGCCAGGAUUUGAACUCAAG